CCGAAACCAAAUGAUUUAUUCAAAAUUAUUUUAUUUUAAAUUAUUUCAAAUUUCAGUUAUUGUAAUGCAUUUAAAUGGUGAAAUCAUUGAAAAUUUUAUGAUAUAUAAUAUUUAUGUUUUUGUUUAGUCGCGCCCCUAGAUAGAUCAUUAAUUUUAGAUUAAUGAUUUUUACUUAGCAAUAAAUAUUUACAUAAUUGGGCCUGAAUAAAUAUUUGUAAAUUUCUCCUUAUUGGGCCAUGUUUAUAUAUAUAUAUAUAUUUUUUUUUUUUUACUUUUGGGCCUUAUUUAUUUUUCAUUGGGCUAUAUUAAUAUAAAGCCCAUCACAUCUAGCUAAUGAUCAGCCUUUACUCUCUUUUCAUUAUUGAUCAGAAAUUUUACUGCAUUUACGUGUUUCUUUCCUCAGCCAUAAUUCUAUAUUCAUUUUCAGCCACAAAUUUUUAACUUGGCCUUGAAGAACACUCACAUUUCUGCAGCCACAUAUUUUCAAAGUAGAAAACUAUUUCGUGCAGCCCAAGAAUUUAGUCCUAUUUAAACUCAAAUUACCCAAAUUUGUAUACCAGCAAUUCACUCCUCAUUUGUUCACUUCACCAUAUAAACUCAAUCUGCCAUUUCUCACUGCACAUCAUCAAUCGGUGCGGCGCGACUAGGACGUUACUUUUGAUUGAAUUUCUCAAAGUUAGCUUUCAAGUUGAAGUUCAAGUUAAAAAAUUCAGGUAUUUUGACGUUGGAGACGCGUGGAAGGUCGAAUGGGCGCAUCGAGAUUCAAGACAUUUAUCAAGUAGUUGAUUUGAUUUUCAACUAAUUUAAGUAUUUAAAGUUUUGCUUAGCACAAGUUUUACCUAAUACUUGGAUAUUUUGAUGACAUCUUUAUGUCAUGCUUUGAAAUAAGAGGUUGAUUGUCGAUUUUUAAAUCAAAGUUAGCCUUUGAGUACAUUAUUUAAAAGUUUAAUUUUUUUUAGGGUUUUCUCCCUUUGAAGUGUUUUCAAAAUAUUUUAUUUAAAAAUUUAUUUAUUUGAUAAUAAAUCCAUAUCUUUAUUUUAUGAUAUUUCCGCUGUCAAAAAUUAUUUACAUUCAUAUUUAAUACGUUAAUUAGAUUAGGAUGUUACAGCAUGGUAUCAGAGCAGGUCUACUUUCCUGUAGACUCUGCAAAAUAAAAUUUUUCUUAAAAUGUUUCAAGUCAAGUGUGACAAGGCCAUUCGACCACUACGCGCUCUGACGUCAAGGUAAAAGUUAUUUUAAAAGUUUUCAAGGGGAUGAGUAUAAACUGUUUAUAUUCCGAAUUUAUGUUAAACUUGCUGCAAUAAUUGAAGUUGUUAUCAGAAAGUUCAAGUUCAUUAUGCAAGUUAUUAUGAGAAAGUUCAGUAUACAAUUCAUCAUGUUGAAGAUUAUUGCAGCUAUGAUUUUAUUUCGGAAUAUUUCAGUUCAUGAUAUUGAAUUACGGGUUUUGAAAUAUUUAUUUUGAACAUCGUCCUCGAAAUAGGAAUAACCUAGAAAUUUUCCUAGAAAAGCUUUGAUCUAUAUCCUCUCAAUUCGUAAGUGCGUAGAAACCUAUAUAAAAUGUCCCUGAAUAUAGAUCCAUAAGAAGUACGCAUGCCUAUUCUCGUAGCUAGUGUCGAGAACACUAGCACGAACUACAAGGACGAAGCUAAGCAAAACAAACUCGUCAAACUAGUGGAUGAGAUUUCAAGAAUCAAUUUUGAGUGCAUUACGAGGAUUUGUCCAAACAACAAACCCAAGCUCAGGCUACGCGACUUAAAGUCAACUCCAAUGCUUAACGCGAUGGAUAGUGCUGUCGAAUGAACUACAACCCGCAAUGAUUCGAUAGACCUGAUAGGUAAUUAGCAGUUGAAGAAGGGUUAGAGGAACUAGAACGAGUUUUCACUCAUCUCAAUUGUACCAACGGACAGAAAACAUCAUAUGUUAUCUUUCAACUUGUGGAGGAACUCUGAAACGACGAUAUCUGUGAUGAAAGCAAUGGAGAUAUUAGAUCAAUAUUCUAGGAAGCGCCGUGUAGUAAACAUUGAAGGAAAAGAAGACGAAGAACUUCCCCUCGAGAGUGUGCUAGUGGUACAUGAUUUUUUCCUCAGCGUCACCUUACGGAUCUCGCUUGAAUAUCGCUGCUAGAUAGACAAGUAUAGUUCACGAUCGAUCUAGUACCUAGAGUUGCACCUAUUUCAAAGCAUCAUAUGAUGGCGCCAAAAGAAUUGAAGAAUUAAAUACGCAAUUGCGAGAGCGUUUAGAUAUAAGGUUUAUUGUCCAAGCAUGUCGUCCUGGGAAAUGCCAUUCUUAAUGGUCAAGAAGAAAGACGGAACGAAUGAUGUGUGUGUUUAUUGUUUGGGCUAGAUCGACUCACCAUCAAGAGAAAGUACCAUUUGCCACGGGUAGAAGAUUUACUCAACCAAUUGAAAGAAGUAGACGUGAUCUCGAAGAUCGACUUGAGAUUGGGUUGCCAUCAAAUUAGGAUAAAAUAGAGUGAUAUAUCGAAGACGACUUUCCAGAUAAGUUAGUCAUAGUUUUCAUCAACAAUAUUUUGAUAUACUUAAGUAACGAUGUGUGACGUGAUGAAUAUUUCAAGAUCGUCUUAUUAACUUUAUGGAACGCGAAACUUUACGCAGAUUUAAGAAGUGCGAGUUUUCGUUAAAUCGAGUAGUCUUUCUCGCUCGCGUAGUAAUUGCUCAAGGAAUCGAAGUGGACCCAGCUAAAGCAGAAGCUAUCAAUAAUUGGAGGACGCUUACAAAUGCUAGUGAGUAAAAUGUGUCUUAGGACUCGCAGGUUAUUGUAGAAGAUUCAUCAAGGCACGAUUAACAAGGAGAUCAGUCACGUUCAAAUGACUGACAAGUGCGGGCAUGAUUUCAAGAAUUGAAGAGAAGAUUGACGACAGUACCAGUGUUGACCAUACCAGCUGGAUUAGACAACUCCGUAUCUACACUGACACAUUGAAGCAAGGAGCUGGACAGGAGACAGAAAAGAUGGCUAGAGCUUGUGUUAGACUACGAUUACACCAUACAACAUUACCAAGAAAAAGCUAAUGUGGUGGCGUGGCACUUAGCAGGAAAAGAUAAAAGACAACUCGCUUGGAUGAUAACUCAACAAGAGACCUUGAUAAGAGAAUUCAAAAGGUAGAAACUCGACGUAGUAACUUCGAAUACUCAGAAAGUUAAGUUAGCAACAUUAGUGUUCACGAUACAAGAUUAACUUAAGGAAGCUCAGGAAAUCAACGACUUUUCUCCACCGAAUGACGAAUAGAGAUUUAAGAGACGAUAAUAUGGAUAUUCAUAUUGGCAAGUGAUAGAAUGUUUAGUAGGUAGACAGAAUUUGGGUCCCCAAGGACAAUAAACUGAUGGAGAAAAUUUUUCAAGAGCAUCGCACGAGUUAUACGGCACGCCCUGGAAACACCAAGACCUUCACAAGAUGUUAAAGAUGAAAGAAGAAAACGAUAGUUGAGUUUGUUAGGAAUCUCAUUUACCGUCGAUAGAAUUCACGAAUAAUAGCAGUUUUCCAACUACUAUCAACAUAGGCUCUAUACGAGGCAUUAUAUAGGAAAAAGUGUAGGUCAUCUUUACAUUAGGGAUGUAUUUGGCAAACGAUAAGUGUUAGGCCCAAAAAAUCGUGAAAGCAACCAUCGAAGUGAUUGCGAGACAAAAGGAUCAAAAUGGCACGGGAACGAUAGAAGAAAGAAGUUCUAUUUCGACGUUCUAUUUCAAGGUUGGCGGAAGUAUUCUCCUUAAGUAGCACCGAUAAAUAGAGUCCCGUGGUUCAGAAAGAAACGAAAAUUGAGACCUCGAUUUAUAGGUUCGUUUAAAAUUCGAGAACGAAUAGGGUGACGUAGCCUAUCGUCUAGCUUUCACGCUACAAUGGUCAGCUGUACAAAUGUGUUUCUCGAGGAUUGCGAAAUACUUGCACGAUUUCAGCCACAUCAUUCAUCAGCGUAAAAAAGAGAAGUCAAUCAGUAUACUAGAUCAAAAGUACAAGCUUUACGAAGUCAAGAAGCACCGAUAGUCAAAUAUAGAGUGAACUAGGCACGGACCCCAAGAAACUACAUGAGAAUGAGAAGAGAAAUCCUAGCUCAUUAUUCCCAUUUAGAACCUAUUAAGUUAAAUUUCGAGGACGAAAUUUUCUUUAAGUAGGUAGGGUUGUGACAGCCCGAAACCAAAUGAUUUAUUCAAAAUUAUUUUAUUUUAAAUUAUUUCAAAUUUCAGUUAUUGUAAUGCAUUUAAAUGGUGAAAUCAUUGAAAAUUUUAUGAUAUAUAAUAUUUAUGUUUUUGUUUAGUCGCGCCCCUAGAUAGAUCAUUAAUUUUAGAUUAAUGAUUUUUACUUAGCAAUAAAUAUUUACAUAAUUGGGCCUGAAUAAAUAUUUGUAAAUUUCUCCUUAUUGGGCCAUGUUUAUAUAUAUAUAUAUAUUUUUUUUUUUUUACUUUUGGGCCUUAUUUAUUUUUCAUUGGGCUAUAUUAAUAUAAAGCCCAUCACAUCUAGCUAAUGAUCAGCCUUUACUCUCUUUUCAUUAUUGAUCAGAAAUUUUACUGCAUUUACGUGUUUCUUUCCUCAGCCAUAAUUCUAUAUUCAUUUUCAGCCACAAAUUUUUAACUUGGCCUUGAAGAACACUCACAUUUCUGCAGCCACAUAUUUUCAAAGUAGAAAACUAUUUCGUGCAGCCCAAGAAUUUAGUCCUAUUUAAACUCAAAUUACCCAAAUUUGUAUACCAGCAAUUCACUCCUCAUUUGUUCACUUCACCAUAUAAACUCAAUCUGCCAUUUCUCACUGCACAUCAUCAAUCGGUACUUUUAAUAUUUUCUGUGCGGCGCGACUAGGACGUUACUUUUGAUUGAAUUUCUCAAAGUUAGCUUUCAAGUUGAAGUUCAAGUUAAAAAAUUCAGGUGUGGGAUUUAUUUCAGUACAUGCCCGUGGUUAAUUCUUGUCCAUUUUAAUAUCAUGUGUUUACCAUAUGUGAGUUGCAUUAAAUUAUAUCGCUAGGGGCCCGCUCAAUGGGUCCAGGACUUCACCGUCCUUGGUAUGCCACAAUGCGAUUUCAUGUUACAGUUAGGGUUGCAACCUAUUCGCCAGGGGCCUGCUCAAUGGGUCCAGGACUUUAAAGUCCUUGGUAUGCCACCGUGCGAAUUUCAGUUAUCAGUACAGUGCAGUGCGUAUUUUGACGUUGGAGACGCGUGGAAGGUCGAAUGGGCGCAUCGAGAUUCAAGACAUUUAUCAAGUAGUUGAUUUGAUUUUCAACUAAUUUAAGUAUUUAAAGUUUUGCUUAGCACAAGUUUUACCUAAUACUUGGAUAUUUUGAUGACAUCUUUAUGUCAUGCUUUGAAAUAAGAGGUUGAUUGUCGAUUUUUAAAUCAAAGUUAGCCUUUGAGUACAUUAUUUAAAAGUUUAAUUUUUU